GUCCACUCCUUACGGGGGAGACAGUCAUGAGACGUGAGUAUAAGACCUGAGUGUAAAGACCUUAGGGUGAAGCAAUUGGAGGGCAAGCUUUGGUGCCAGCAGCCGCGGUAACUCCAACUCCAAGAGUGUCUAUGGUGGAUGCUGCAGUUAAAGGGUCCGUAGUCGUGAAUGCAAUUAAAUGUCGUUGUUCAAUAGCGAUGAGUUUGCUAAUGUUUGCGGAACGGAUAGGGAGUGUAGUAUAGACUGGCGAAGAAUGAAAUCUCAAGACCCAGUUUGGACUAACGGAGGCGAAGGCGACACUCUUAGACGUAUCUUAGGAUCAAGGACGAAGGCAGGAGUAUCGAAAGUGAUUAGACACCGCUGUAGUUCCUGCAGUAAACUAUGCCGACAGCCUGUGUGUGAGAAUACGUGGGCGGGAGAAAUCUUAGUGUUCGGGCUCUGGGGAUAGUACGCUCGCAAGGGUGAAACUUAAAGCGAAAUUGACGGAAGGACACUACCAGGAGUGGAUUGUGCUGCUUAAUUUAACUCAACGCGGGAAAACUUACCAGGGUCAAGUCAUUCGUUGAUCGAAUACGUGAGAAUGGCAGGAUGGG
rnacentral:rRNA from 1 species